AAAAUGUGUUGAAAAAAAUCUGCCUUCCUGACAACAUGGAGGUUUAAAAAACUCCUUCUCCCAUUCUGCCCUGCUUUCUUCUGGCUCCCAGCCCACCUGUCUUGAGCCAUGUCCGCAUCUGAGACGAACAUGGUUGUAGCCUUGGAAAUAAAGAAUAGCCAGAGAGGCCUGCCUUAUUGGCAUCUUGGCAAUCGGGUACACGACUUGCAAGAUGGACUGAGAAUUCCACAGGUGGACUGAUUAGUGGGUGGCAUUUCUGAGCUCCAGCAAGCUGUUAGCAUUAUGUCUGUUUGCUU